rnacentral:sRNA from 1 species
CAAUAAGACCUCACAAACACUCACAAGUGAUAUAGGGCUUGAAAGAAAGUCUAGGUUUGGGUUUGGGUUAACUGCUCUAACAAGGAGAGUCAGCUACUUGGAUUAACAAGAGUGAUCAAAAUGAAUAAGAAAAUCCAAGUAUUUUAGGAUAUCCAUGAGUUCAAAUUUGAUGCAGACAUGAUAAUUAAAGAUCAGAUUCAGGUUCAAAUUGAUAGGGAAUGGUAUCAGAUCAUGACAGUGUGGUCGAGUAAAGCAAUCUAGGCAUGGUUUAGUUUUAUUUCAAAUUCAUUGACUACACAACAGACAGCUAGCAACAAGGGCACUGAGUUUAUCCGGUGAAUCAAAAUGCUUACAAGGCUAUCUCAUCAUUAUCCCCUAUGCAUAUGCGACAAUCCUAAAUGAAACACUCUAGACUCGAUCCUAAAUGUAAUGCAACUACAUGAACACUCUUUUUUUGUGAAAUUA